rnacentral:tRNA from 16 species
GGGUACGGACCCGGGUUCGAUUCCCAGCG